rnacentral:rRNA from 1 species
CCUACGGGGGGCAGCAGUGAGGAAUAUUGGACAAUGGGCGCAAGCCUGAUCCAGCCAUGCCGCGUGCAGGAUGACGGUCCUAUGGAUUGUAAACUGCUUUUGCACAGGAAGAAACAACGCUACGUGUAGCGUCUUGACGGUACUGUGAGAAUAAGGAUCGGCUAACUCCGUGCCAGCAGCCGCGGUAAUACGGAGGAUCCAAGCGUUAUCCGGAAUCAUUGGGUUUAAAGGGUCCGUAGGCGGUUUAGUAAGUCAGUGGUGAAAGCCCAUCGCUCAACGGUGGAACGGCCAUUGAUACUGCUAGACUUGAAUUAUUAGGAAGUAACUAGAAUAUGUAGUGUAGCGGUGAAAUGCUUAGAGAUUACAUGGAAUACCAAUUGCGAAGGCAGGUUACUACUAAUGGAUUGACGCUGAUGGACGAAAGCGUGGGUAGCGAACAGGAUUAGAUACCCCUGUAGUC